rnacentral:rRNA from 1 species
CGCGGCCUAUCAGCUUGUUGGUGGGGUAAUGGCCUACCAAGGCUUCGACGGGUAGCCGGCCUGAGAGGGUGACCGGCCACACUGGGACUGAGACACGGCCCAGACUCCUACGGGAGGCAGCAGUGGGGAAUAUUGGACAAUGGGCGAAAGCCUGAUCCAGCAACGCCGCGUGAGGGAUGACGGCCUUCGGGUUGUAAACCUCUUUCAGCGCCGACGAAGCGAAAGUGACGGUAGGCGCAGAAGAGGCACCGGCCAACUACGUGCCAGCAGCCGCGGUAAUACGUAGGGUGCGAGCGUUGUCCGGAAUUAUUGGGCGUAAAGGGCUCGUAGGCGGUCUGUCGCGUCGGGAGUGAAAACUCAGGGCUUAACCCUGAGCCUGCUUCCGAUACGGGCAGACUAGAGGUAUGCAGGGGAGAACGGAAUUCCUGGUGUAGCGGUGAAAUGCGCAGAUAUCAGGAGGAACACCAGUGGCGAAGGCGGUUCCCUGGGCAUUACCUGACGCUGAGGAGCGAAAGUGUGGGGAGCGAACAGGAUUAGAUACCCUGGUAGUCCACACCGUAAACGUUGGGCGCUAGGUGUGGGACUCAUUCCACGAGUUCCGUGCCGCAGCUAACGCAUUAAGCGCCCCGCCUGGGGAGUACGG